GUGUGUGUUUUGGCUGCUGGUCAGUGUUUGUCACAGUUAAUGAGGUCACCUGAGAGCACCUGGUUAAUGGCCUCUCAUUAGGAGCAGCAGCUCGUUAGUCCGUCUCUCAGGACAAACUGCAGCACAAACAGUUACAUCAUCAUCUGAUGUUUAUACCUCUUUGACCUCUGACCUUCCCUCUCCUGGGCUCACAGCUCCCCUGUCCCUCAGAGUCCUUUCUGCACUCGCCAGUCAGACCGUUUACUGUUCUGUUAUUAUUAGAAAAGGAAAAGUUGCAGCCCUAAAGACUCCCAGAAGCACUCUGAGCUCCAUCAGACAGGACCAUGGUGAGAUGGUGGCACUUUAUGGUCAUUCUGGAAAGUGUGAAGCCUCAUCUUAAAUACUCUAGGAACAACAAACUGAAACUUAACGAGGCCGUAAAGCUUAAAGAAGUGGAUUCACCAACAAGCAAACAGCUGGAAUGUGCAACAAAAGUCACGACUUUGACGCAGAGGCACGAAGAUCAGCCGGAGACGGCACCGCGUGCUCACGCGCGUUUAUCUGCUGGCUGCUGUCAGGACUGUGCUGCACAAUCAAGCCUCGGCAGGUCGGAAAGAUAUUUCCAUCUUUAAGGCGUCUCUGAUGUAGACUCUUUCAUUAUGUUACUAAUCAGAAUACUUUAUGAGUGUAGAGAUCUUUAACUGUUGCAGAUGGAAACAACAAAUUUGUAGAAAUAUUUAUAUAAUCUCAUUUUGGCUGAGCUUACAAUGCGUGGAGAUGCAUCUGGUCCAAAAUCCUGCAUUCAGGCAAAAAUAUGAACAUUUACAGGAUAAAAUGUUUUAUUGUGACAUAGUGAGAUAAGUACGAUUAUAUCUGCAGCUCAUGAAAAAAGGCUCAAAUCUUAAAUUGUAAAAAAUCAGAUUACUGUUGAACUUAUGGUUCGAUCUUCUCUCAUCUGUAGGACUAAAUGUUGCUUUCAUUGGUCGACACCGAGGUAAAAUCCUCUCAGCUCGCCGAAGCUCGCAGCAGGUUUUGUCCCUCGGUAUGACAGACGUCAGCAGAUAAAAAAAAUCACUCCGGCUGCUGUUCAGAGUGACGAGGCUCUGAGGCUCGCAGCGUAAGGCCGAGUCGAUUUGAGCCCCCUGAUGUCUUUUGUUGA
ensembl:lncRNA